rnacentral:snoRNA from 1 species
AUCCUUUUGUAAUUCAUGAGCAUGAAGACCGAGUUCUCCCACUGUUGUGUGAAACAUACCUUUCCUUCAAACUCUUUGUUUCGAUGCCAACACAUUAUCCAUCUGGUA